AACGAACGCUGGCGGCAGGCCUAACACAUGCAAGUCGAGCGAGGACUUCGGUUCUAGCGGCGGACGGGUGCGUAACGCGUGGGAAUGUGCCCUUCUCUACGGAAUAACUCUGGGAAACUGGGGGUAAUACCGUAUACUCCCUACUGGGGAAAGAUUUAUCGGAGAAGGAUCGGCCCGCGUUGGAUUAGGUAGUUGGUGGGGUAAUGGCCUACCAAGGCGACGAUCCAUAGCUGGUUUGAGAGGAUGAUCAGCCACACUGGGACUGAGACACGGCCCAGACUCCUACGGGAGGCAGCAGUGGGGAAUCUUAGACAAUGGGGGCAACCCUGAUCCAGCCAUGCCGCGUGAGUGAUGAAGGCCUUAGGGUUGUAAAGCUCUUUUAGCUGGGAAGAUAAUGACGGUACCGGGAGAAGAAGCCCCGGCUAACUCCGUG
rnacentral:rRNA from 1 species